GACAGAGGUGCCAAGCGUUAGGCGGAAUCACUGGGCUUAAAGCGUGUGUAGGCGGGUGCCUAAGUACCUUGUGAAAUCCCCCGGCUCAACCGGGGAGCGGCUGGGUAUACUGGGUGCCUUGGGUCAUCUAGGGGCUGCCGGAACAAAUGGUGGAGCGGUGAAAUGCGUAGAUAUCAUUUGGAACGCCAACGGCGAAAGCAGGCAGCUGGGGAUGCACCGACGCUGAGACACGAAAGCCAGGGGAGCGAACGGG
rnacentral:rRNA from 1 species